ACCUGGCUGGCUCAGUUGUUGGAGCGGGUGACUCUUGAUCUUGGGGUUGUGAGUUCGAGCCCCAUGUUGGGUG
rnacentral:tRNA from 1 species